rnacentral:lncRNA from 1 species
GGCACAGGAGGUGAGGGAAUCACUUCUGAGGCGGCUUCCCUAAAAGAAAGGUCAGCCACAAGGUCACUCCCCAUGGACCAGAGCUCAGGUCUGGUUUCUUUUGCAAUGUCCCUACCCCUCAGGAGCUGACUGCAAGCUCACACAGGUGAUGUUCCUUAAAUCCUUAACUCCCAGAAGGACAGAAUUGCAUCAGAACCUCCACUUUCAGCUCACCUCAGCUCACCUCAUCUCAUCUCUUACCUGGGCCAAGACAAGUGCUGCCCAUCUCACCCUUCAUGGAGAACACUGGACAAGAGGAGUCGAGGCCACCACCCUGUCUGCUGUGAGCUUCCCAGCUUGUCCACCUGGGAAUUGUAAAAUUCCAUGUACAGACCAUGACUUGUGA